rnacentral:lncRNA from 1 species
AUAUUGAUGGACACCCAGUCCAAACCCCCUGAUGAUCUCUCCCAGCGGCUUCAUAUAGAUGUUAAAAAGCAUGGGGGGAGGACGGAACCCUGAGGCACCCCACAAGUGAGGGCCCAGGGGUCUGAACACUCAUCCCCCCCCACCACUUUCUGGACACGGCCCAGGAGGAAGGAGCGAAACCACUGUAUAACAGUGCCCCCAGCUCCCAGCCCCUCUAGACGGUCCAGAAGGAUGUUAUGGUCGAUUGUAUCAAAGGCCGCUGAGAGAUCCAGCAGAACUAGGAAACAACUCUCACCUUUGUCCCUAGCUCACCGGAGAUCAUCAACCAGCGCGACCAAGGCAGUUUCAGUCCCAUGAUGAGGCCUGAAUCCCGAUUGGAAGGGAUCCAAAUGGUCUGCAUCCUCCAGGCGUGCCUGGAGUUGUUCAGCAACCACGCGCUCAAUCACCUUGCCCAAGAAUGGAAGAUUUGAGACUGGGCGAUAGUUGGCCAUACUGGCCGGGUCUAAAGAUGUUUUUUUAAGAAGCGGUUUAAUGACCGCCUCUUUCAGCGGAUCUGGGAAUGUUCCCUCACAGAGGGAAGCAUUCACCACCCCGCAGAGCCCAUCGCCCAGCCCUUCCCGGCUUGCUUUUAUUAGCCAGGAUGGGCAAGGAUCAAGGAGACAGGUGGUUGGUUUCACGCGUCCAAGCAGCCUGUCCACAUCCUCGGGGGUAACGGAUUGAAAUUGAUUCCAUGCAACUUGACCAGACAGAGCUCUAGCACUCUCCCGCCCCAGCCCUGCUCCCACGGUGGUGUCUAGCUCCUUCCGAAUAUGAGUGAUUUUAUCUGCAAAAACUUUGCAAAAUCGUUGCAGGAGAUCUUGGGGUCUUUACAAGGCCCCGGUGGUAAAGGUGGUUCCGUUAAAUUGCGAACCACCUGAAAGAGUCUCCUGCUACUAUUUUCUGCAGAUGCAAUAGAGGCGGUGAAGAAAGUCUUCUUCGCCGUCGCUAUCGCCACUUGGUAGGCUCGACGUUGAGCUCUAACCUGUGUCCGGUCAGAUUCGGAGUGAGUUUUCUGCCACCGACGCUCUAGCCGUCUCAGCGAUUGUUUCAUUGCCCUCAGCUCCGAAGAAAACCACGGGGCUGUCCGGGCUCCAUGCAAUCGGAGAGGGCGCUUUGGAGCCAGACAGUCGAUAGCCCUGGUUAACUCCGCAUUCCAGCGGGCCACCAGGGAAUCAGCUGAAAGGCCAUCAACAUGGGAUAAAGCAUCCCCUACCACUCUCUGGAAACCAUUUGGAUCCAUUAAGUGGCGGGGCGGACCAUCCGAAUUGGUCCCACCUCCCUGCAGAGGGGAAGGGUCGCGGAGAAGUCCAGUUGCACCAGGAAGUGAUCUGACCAUGGCACUUCUUUUGUUUCACUUUUUCUUAGUGUCAGAUCACCCACGUCACUAGAGGUGAACACCAGGUCUAAGGCAUGUCCAUGACUAUGAGUUGGGCCAAACUUAUUCAGGGACAGCCCCAUGGAGGCCAUGCUUUCCACGAAGUCCCGAGCAGCCCCUUGUAAGGUCGUGUCGGCAUGGAUGUUAAAAUCCCCUAGGACAACCAAACUAGGUGUCUCCAGGAGAAAAUCCGCCACGACCUGAAGCAGCUCAGACAGGGAAUCCUUGGUGCAGCGGGGAGGUCGGUACACCAAAAGGAAUCCUGUACUGCCCCUAUUGCCCAACUUCCAGAACAUGCACUCAGAAAACUGGAUCUUCCCAGUAGGAUGCCUGGUGCAAGCUAGUGACUUCCUAAAAAUCACUGCAACCCCCCCUCCCCGCCCACAUGACCUGGGUUGCUGUGCGUAAGAGAAACCUGGUGGGCAAGCAGCGGCAAGGACAGGCCCAUCUGCUUCCUCCAACCAGGUCUCUGUCACACAUGCCAGGUCAAAUCCUCCAUCCACAAUCAGGUCGUGGAUGGCAGUGGUUUUAUUCAUCAUUGACCUGGCAUUACACAGCAACACCUUCAGGUCAUGUGGGUUUCCCCUGUUGAUUCCAGUAUCCAUCCGGUCAAGGCCAGACCCGGAGGCAGGGAUAGUCUUCAAACAACGACUAAACCUGCCUCCUCGGUAAUGACAUGCUCUGGUCUUAGCGUAACUCCGCCUCCUGCCCAUGAUCACCGAGAUCGGAUGUCCCAGUGCUUCCCCCCCUGUGGAACUUGUCCCAGCCAUCGUGUUGGCUGGGGCCCCACUCCCAGGCAGCCCUGAUCCCGCCCCUUAAAAACAAAACACAAACUAUACAGAACCAAUAAAACAACAACAACAACAAAAGGAACAAAACAAUUAUACUAAAAUUAAUCCCCAACCAAAUAUCCAUCCCACUCACCCACCCGCAACAAAGGAAAAAAGGAAAUAAAGAAUAAAAAUUUAAAUUGCCACCGACUGCUUGAGGACAUUUUAAAGCACAUUAACCACCUGGAACAGGGAAGCAAUGGCAGAACACUUCCCACACUUCCCCAAAAGUUUGUUCCAAAUAAGGGCCUGGGCCACGCCCCCUGGGCCAGUUGGAAAAGGCCCUGGAAGGGAGCAGGCCCUGUAGUCCUCACCCAGCCGAUGCAACCUCAAGGCUUAUAAUCGCAUGGGCUUAUUUGUGUGUUGGACUUCAGCCUGGCAGACCAGGAUCCAAAUCCUCACUCAUCCACAUGAAGAUGACGGAGUGACCAUGGGCCAGUCACUGUCUCUCAGCGUACCCUACCUUGCAGGCUUGUAGUGAGGAUUAGAUGCAGAGGUAGAACCAUGUAUACUGCCUGGAGCUCCUUAGGAAUGGGGAAGGCCUGAUGUGGAUAUGUUUCAACAGGAGUUACCAGCAAACGUUUGUUGCUGGAUCAUGUAUAGUAUCUUUCAGUAGAAAUGCAUCAAGUUUUCAAGCUUCAUAAUACUCUUUAUAAAGGGGGAGGGGAAUCAUGCAACACAGAUUUG